UACAGAGGUCCCAAGCGUUGUUCGGAUUCACUGGGCGUAAAGGGUGCGUAGGUGGUAAGGCAAGUCAGGUGUGAAAUCUCCGGGCUCAACCCGGAAAUGGCAUUCGAAACUACCUUGCUAGAGGGUUUGAGGGGGGACUGGAAUUCUUGGUGUAGCAGUGAAAUGCGUAGAUAUCAAGAGGAACACCAGUGGCGAAGGCGAGUCCCUGGACAACACCUGACACUGAGGCACGAAAGCCGGGGGAGCAAACAGG
rnacentral:rRNA from 1 species